UACAGAGGGUGCGAGCGUUAAUCGGAAUUACUGGCGUAAAGGGCGCGUAGGUGGUUGGACAAGUGAGAUGUGAAAUCCCCGGGCUUAACCCGGGAACUGCAUUUUAUACUGUCUGGCUGGAGUACUGUAGAGGGUAGUGGAAUUUCCGGUGUAGCGGUGAAAUGCGUAGAGAUCGGAAGGAACACCGGUGGCGAAGGCGGCAUCCUGGACCAACACUGACACUGAGGAGCGAAAGCCAGGGGAGCAAACGGG
rnacentral:rRNA from 1 species